AUAAUGUGCUGUUCCCUAUGCUUAUGUUACAAGUAAUAGCAUUUGUUUUCUUUUCUGAUUGAUUGUUCAGGAGUGUCCAACUACAAUUAAGGAUAGAAAGAGCCUCUGGUUCCUCUUUGUAAUUUCAUUGCCUGAAUAGGUCUGGUCCCAAUAUCCCCACCACAUAAGACUUUGUGUGUGAUGUAUAAUUAUGAACUGUUCAAAAUACUAAAAAGUAUCUGUUAUCCAACUGUAUUCCCAAUCAGAAUGAUAAACUUUACUUAGCUACAUUUGUGCAUUUCUUACACAAAUAUUUUAAUUAAAAUAUAGUACAAGAUUUUUCAGAAAAAUCUUGAAUUUUGCUAAUGAAUUGACUAAUGAACUUUGUUAUUUGGAUAGAAAAAAUAUGGUCCUUUUAUGAAAAAUUGUAGCAGAAAUAGACAUAAAAAUAACUUAUGCUAAUACCAUGUUGAAGUAUGCGCCAAGCUUAUAGCAAAUUGUGUAUAUCAACUAUUAUAGACUACUACUAAUUUUCAACAAAUCCUCCUCAUUACUUUUUAAAGAUGCUAUCCUAAUGGAUCCAAGUAGAAAAAAAUUGCUGUCCUUCACUGUAUUCAACAAAGACAUAUCUGUAAGAUAAUCUACUAGAUGCUGCAGAGAAUACAGGAAUAAAUCACAACGUCCCACAUUGUCAAGAGAAUUUAAUGAACAUCUCACAUGCUUGAAACACGCUGCUAAUAUACUCUGGUUGCUUAGAAAUGAGAUAUUGAUAGAGAUAGAGAGAACGUAUACUGAAAUGGUUCUGAGUUUGGGAUUUGCUGUCAGUUGAUUUUGAAUCUUCACUCUGCCAACUGCAGCUAGGUGACCUUGGGCAAGUUAAUUAACCUCUUUAAACUCCAAUUUUCUCAUUAAAAAUAGAGCUAAUAAUAGAACCUAUUUUAUAAAGUAAUUACAAUGGUUAAAGAGAAUAAUGCACAGAAAGCGUUUUGAACCACAUUUACCUAAACAGUAACAAUAAAUGAAAUUAACUAUUAUUGCUGUAAUUGAAGACUGGUUGUUACUGGAAUUAUGGUCAUAGAAACUUUAGAAAGGACCUUAGUAAUAAUUUUUAAAUAAAUCCUCUUUUUACAGUGAGGAAACUGUUUAGAACAACUGUGAAUCCUGGUCAAGUUUGUUUAUGUAUUAAUGGUUGAACUGGCAUAGUUUCCAGGUGUCCAGAAUUGCAGGCUAGUGCUCUUUAUAUCUUUCACUCAAAUGAGUACUAAAAUUCCUAAUUUUCUACAUAAUUGCUAUCAAUAAAACCUUUUCUUACUUCCAGAAUUAUUUUCUUUGCUAGUUUACUUGAGUGAAGAAAAAUGGCAGACAACUCAUGAUGAUGACAUUUAGGGCAAAAGGGUGAAAAUUGUUUCAAAUUCUUUAGUUCACAUCAUGUUUUUCAUCCUCAUCCUCCUCAUAAUACUCACCUCUCCGAACACUACAUCUCUUGCCAGGCAAGUAGAAAAAAAUCCUGUCUCAGGUAAUUUGCACCUAGCAAUAGGUCCACAUACAUAUUUACUUAAGGAUGCUAUUCUAAUACCUGAUCCUUAUAAAGAUCCCUAACUUGUAGUUAGUCAUCAGCUGUCAGAAUUUAAUCACUUGGUCUUAUUCUGGAAACUUUACCACUUUUCAAAAAUAUUUUGCUUUUAAUUAGCUUAUAAAAUACAAAACUAGAUUUCAAAAACAUUUUUGCUAUACACAUUAGCUACAUUGUUUUAAUAUCAUUUUUGGUCAAUUAAUUUUGGAGAGUGCUCAUAUUUAUUUUAGUCUUAGCAGGAUUAUUAAGUAUAUGUGUUGAAUUUAAGUGUGCAGAUGAAUAGCUAACUGAUAAGCCUUUAAUUAUAUACACUUCAAUUUUUCUGUUUAGAUUACAGUAUUCUUAGCAAAGCAAUAUAUAAUUCAGAUCCCAAGAGAAAAAUCGUUGAAAGAAUAUCUAGGAUAUAUUACAAAUAUUCUGGUUUAAGUCAAUUGGAUAUAUAUUUCUGCAUUUAAGCUUUUUACUCAAACUUUUUAUAAAAAUGAUUUUCUAUGUAAUUAUAAUUGUUAUGCCUGCAUAAUGUUACAUAAUAUGGAUUGCCAUAAUUAACAUUUCUUGUUUGUAGGACAUUUAGGCUGCUUCCAAUAUUUUGGUAUUAUAAACAAUGUUUUAAUAAAUAUAUUUAAAUAAAUGCCUUGUUUAUAUUUUAAUUUUUAAAAAGAGUAUAAGAAAAAUAAUCACUAGGGCAAACAAUAUAAACAUUUAAAGCAUAUUAUUUUUGUCAAAUAGGAUCAGUGCCCCUCAUAAAUCAGUUAAUCAAAAAAGUAAAAUAUUUCUCAUUGUGAUUUUUAUUUGCAUAUCUUUCAUUAUUAAUAAAGUUUAAUAUUCUUUAUUUCAUUAUCCAUUAUGUUUUUAAAUUAAUGAAUAGUUUAUAAUUUAUUUAUAAACUAUGCCCACAGAGAUUAACUUCUCGUUAAUUGAUUUCUGUUUUAAUUAUUGUUUUAAAAAACGUGCAUUAGUAAUUUAGCUAUUUACUCAUCCUUCUCCAAAUUACUUUACCAAAAGUUGUUUGUUUACAUGAAUUUUAGGAUUGAUUUUUAAAUUUCCUAAAAAUAUGCUAUUGGGGUUUUGAUUAAAAUUAAAGUAAAUACAUAAACAAAUCUGAAAGUAAUUUUUUUCCAAUCUGCCCAUUCAAAACUUUGUUUGCCCAUUGCAUUAAGCCAAGCAAAAUAUUAUUUAUUUCUUAUUAAUGUGAUCCUUAGAGAAAUUUCACAUGUGUUUGUGUAAACAGUCAUUUUCCACUAUAAUUUCUAAUUGAUUAUUACUUGUGUAUGGAAAUCUUUGGAUUUUGACCUUCUUGUACCUAGAUAGUUUAUUUGACUCAAAAAUUUUACUUGUUUUUUUCUCCAAUUAAUUUCCUUAGGUUUUCCAUCGACAAGUAUCUCCUUUCCUCAGCCCACGGACAAAAUUUACAGGCUCAUCUGCUCUUACAAUGGUGCAAAUAAUAGUAUGAGAACAACUUUAGAUGGAGUAUAGUUCAUUUUAAUAGAAAAAUAUGGAGUUCCUAAUCUGGCUCAGCGGGUUAAAAGCCCAACAUAGAGUCCAUGAGGAUGUGGGUUCAAUCCUUGGCCUUGCUCAGUGGGUUAAGGGCCAAGUGAUGCCACAAGCUGCGGUGAGGGUCACAGAUGCAGCUCAGAUCUGGUGUUGCUGUGGAUGUGGCUCCGAUGUGACCCUAGCCCAGGAACUUCCAUAUGCCACA
rnacentral:lncRNA from 1 species